rnacentral:rRNA from 1 species
UGGGGAAUUUUGCACAAUGGGGGAAACCCUGAUGCAGCGACGCCGCGUGAUUUAGAAGGCCUUCGGGUUGUAAAAAUCUUUUCUAUGGGAAGAAAAUGACAGUACCAUAGGAAUAAGGACCGGCUAAUUACGUGCCAGCAGCCGCGGUAAUACGUAAGGUCCGAGCGUUGUCCGGAAUCAUUGGGCGUAAAGGGUACGUAGGCGGGUAAGCAAGUUAGAAGUGAAAUCCUAUAGCUCAACUAAAGUAAGCUUUUAAAACUGCUCAUCUUGAGGUAUGGAAGGGAAAGUGGAAUUCCUAGUGUAGCGGUGAAAUGCGCAGAUAUUAGGAGGAAUACCGGUGGCGAAGGCGACUUUCUGGCCAUAACCUGACGCUGAGGUACGAAAGCGUGGGUAGCAAACAGG